rnacentral:rRNA from 1 species
UACGUAGGGGGCAAGCGUUGUCCGGAAUUAUUGGGCGUAAAGCGCGCGCAGGCGGCUGUUUAAGUCGGGUGUUUAACCCCAGAGCUCAACUCUGGGUCGCACCCGAAACUGGACGGCUUGAGUGCAGGAGAGGAAAGCGGAAUUCCACGUGUAGCGGUGAAAUGCGUAGAGAUGUGGAGGAACACCAGUGGCGAAGGCGGCUUUCUGGCCUGUAACUGACGCUGAGGCGCGAAAGCGUGGGGAGCAAACAGG